rnacentral:rRNA from 1 species
CGGGUGAGUAAUAUAUCGGAACGUACCCAAGAGUGGGGGAUAACGUAGCGAAAGUUACGCUAAUACCGCAUACGAUCUAAGGAUGAAAGCAGGGGACCGCAAGGCCUUGUGCUCCUGGAGCGGCCGAUAUCUGAUUAGCUAGUUGGUGAGGUAAAGGCUCACCAAGGCGACGAUCAGUAGCUGGUCUGAGAGGACGACCAGCCACACUGGAACUGAGACACGGUCCAGACUCCUACGGGAGGCAGCAGUGGGGAAUUUUGGACAAUGGGCGCAAGCCUGAUCCAGCAAUGCCGCGUGAGUGAAGAAGGCCUUCGGGUUGUAAAGCUCUUUUGUCAGGGAAGAAACGGGAGUGGCUAAUAUCUGCUUCUAAUGACGGUACCUGAAGAAUAAGCACCGGCUAACUACGUG